UUCUUGUCUCUCAAAAAAAGUUUGUCUUCUUGAUUUUUCUGGCUGCGGGGCAUGGGAACCGUGGAUCGAUCCCCACAUACACAGGUACUAUAAUUUUUUUUCGUAUGCUUCUUCUAGAUUUCGUUUUGAGCCGAUAGGUGCGAGAUGUGGCAUCACUUCUCGGCUCUACAAAAUCCAUUGCUGAAGUGCGUGUCCUGGGGUCCCAGCCUCCAUCACUUCUUCAGUUCCCGCAAGGUUCGAGAACAAAAAAAAUCAGUGUGGAAGACCACUAGCAGAAUUGGAUGUUGUAUGCACCUUCAUCUUCCAGUCCAAUUACUUAGAUUAUUUGGGACAAAUUCAUUUGCUUUUAACCGUACCAAAGUUAUAUAGCAGGAUAAGGAUACAUGCUUGUACUGCCUCUAUCACAAAUUGCACAUGAGUUAACUAGAAAGCUAGCAAUCAAUCGCUCUGAAGGUAUUGCUCUUUUAUUUUAUUUCAGAUCGUGAGGAAAGGGGUUUCGAUAUGUGACUACUCUAUGCUGUACUAACUACCUUAUGUUGUACUGACUAAUCUUAGAAAUAUAUUUGGUCCAGGAGUAGUACAUAGAGCACUUCUGGAUCAGAUAUACACAUGCUAUUCACCUUCAUAACCCAAUUUUUUUUGCUUAUGACGAUGUUUAUUAUCGGAAAGCUCUUGACAAAAGCAUCAAGUAAUGAGCCAAUACUCAAAUAACUGACCCACCUACAAUCUUUUUUUCUAAUGGCAAUAUUAUAUACACAACAAUAAUUUUUUACAUUUUUCUUAUUGUUGCAAAUAUAUAUCUUGGUAGUUAUAAAUGACACAUCUAUUUGGUCAUCAGUUGCUUAUCUGUAGUGCUUAGGAGAGUUUUUUUUAUUGGAAAUGACUUUUGAUUCUUGGUUCUUGAGGUGGUAUAUUACACUGAAGCACUUCAAAUCUUGGCUCUGGCUAAGCAUAAUAUAUUACCUUACUACUGAGAUUUGGCUACUAAUGAUAUAUGUUACCAUUGUUUUUGUUGUCUUUGAUAGUAUAAAAGAUCGGAAGAUCAGCUAUCACUGCUCCUGUUUGUUGGUAGAUUUGGCAAACCCUCUAAGUUCAUUUUUCACGAAAAUAUAGUUUGUACACUGGUUCGAAUUAAUAUAUUGAUGUAAGUUGGGAAUAUCCAAGUUUCUUUAUACUAGUAUAAGUUCAGAAUUUGUAACACCAUUCUACUACUUACACAAGAGCCUUGUGGCUAAUCAUACUUGAUCCUGUGUGCUCUUAUCUGUAGGUAUGGGUUAAACAUCAUUGUCAAUUUUGAUAUGUUUGACGGGAUGAAUGAUGCGUCAGAUUCUUCUAAAACUGCCACUAUUCCGUACGUAUCUGUCGCAACCUGAAUUUAUGUCUGUCAUGCAUUCAUUAUCUUUGUUUUGUGAGGCUCGAUCAACUUUUAGCUUUUGUCCUCUUGGAGACGUCCUCCUUGAACAGCUUGGAUUCAGUCAUCAAGUCCAUCAUAGGUUUCUGCUGCAUGCCCAGCAUCCGCUUGCACUUAGACAGGGAGGGAGGGAAGGAUCUGCCAUAUUGAAGCAUCCAAUAUUUAUGCUUACCCCGAUCUCUAGAGUCAAGGAUUCUCCACUGAUUGAAAGAUGCAAAUACUGAGUAUGCUAACUAGAGUAAUGCUAACUACUUUAUAUCAGCGCAUUUUAUUUGAUUCUUUUAGUAUCUAGACAAUAUUGCAUGACCAAAUCAUAAUAGACCGGGUGAUUGACGUUCGCCUACCUGUAAGGAUUCUCCCAGGUUGUAUCUAUCGAGGAGUGAGCGGAGGAGCGGGAUUAGGAGAUGCCCAUGGUGGCCUAGCAGUUGCUGUCUCCCCGAUGGCUUGAUAAUAUGCCAGACAGCUUCUUGUGUGUUUGCAGCUUGCUAAACAUUCGUCAAAAUUAUGGUUCGCUUGCACCUUGUACAAGUAUGAAUUUUUGCCAUAUCCCACUUCAGGGCAUAAAUUACUAUUUUUUUCAAAACGGCAACGCAUAAAUUAAGGUUUUUUUAUAUUGGAUCGAUAUUUGUAUGGUUGACUUUGACAUAACCUUUUACAACCAGCUACAUAGAAUGGUAAAUCACUAAACUGCAAUUCUUCAGUCUCCCUGUGUUCUAAAAAUAAAAUGCUUGGAACUUU
rnacentral:lncRNA from 1 species